AUGACCUCAGAUCAGGUAGCAUACCCG
rnacentral:rRNA from 1 species